AUAAGGAGCUUGCUCCUUUGACGUUAGCGGCGGACGGGUGAGUAACACGUGGAUAACCUACCUAUAAGACUGGGAUAACUUCGGGAAACCGGAGCUAAUACCGGAUAACAUAUUGAACCGCAUGGUUCAAUAGUGAAAGGCGGCUUUGCUGUCACUUAUAGAUGGAUCCGCGCCGUAUUAGCUAGUUGGUAAGGUAACGGCUUACCAAGGCAACGAUACGUAGCCGACCUGAGAGGGUGAUCGGCCACACUGGAACUGAGACACGGUCCAGACUCCUACGGGAGGCAGCAGUAGGGAAUCUUCCGCAAUGGGCGAAAGCCUGACGGAGCAACGCCGCGUGAGUGAUGAAGGUCUUCGGAUCGUAAAACUCUGUUAUCAGGGAAGAACAAAUGUGUAAGUAACUGUGCACAUCUUGACGGUACCUGAUCAGAAAGCCACGGCUAACUACGUGCCAGCAGCCGCGGUAAUACGUAGGUGGCAAGCGUUAUCCGGAAUUAUUGGGCGUAAAGCGCGCGUAGGCGGUUUUUUAAGUCUGAUGUGAAAGCCCACGGCUCAACCGUGGAGGGUCAUUGGAAACUGGAAAACUUGAGUGCAGAAGAGGAAAGUGGAAUUCCAUGUGUAGCGGUGAAAUGCGCAGAGAUAUGGAGGAACACCAGUGGCGAAGGCGACUUUCUGGUCUGUAACUGAC
rnacentral:rRNA from 1 species